AGACAGACAUGCUGAAACACACAUACACACAUACAGACAGACAGACAUGCUGAAACACACAUACACACAGAUACAGACAGACAAACACACAUCCAGACAUUUUGACAUACACAGACAGCCAUACUGAAACACACAUACACACUGAACCACAGACACUGACAGACUCACACACAGACAUACUGACACACUGACAGACAUACACACAUACAGCCAUACUGAACCACACAGACAC